CUUUUCCCCUUCCCUCCCACACAAUAACUGGAUGACUUGUCCAGAUCUUAGGCAACAAUUCUCUUAGCACAUCAGCUCCUGGAAACAAAUGCACUUAACCAGAAAAAUAGGGACAUCGACCAGCAAAGACGCAUCCUUAGUUAACAGAGCCUGAAAUUACUAGAAUCUGUAAAGUACAGUGAGGAAAAGAAGUUUCACCUGCCUGCACCAUCAGUCGUUGACUCUCCAUCUGACUUGGAGGGACUCUGAGGGACCGACCUGAGCCUGAGAAGAGAUUCCCCUUCAAGAACACACUGGGAACUCACGAACCGCCUUCUCCGUGGUGCAGAGCGCAGAGGAGAAUCCCGGCCCCGGCGUCUGGUUCUCGCGAUACCCGGCUGCGGCCGCGGGCUUUCCACCCCUCCACGGCCUCCGUUUUUUUUCCACCUUCAUGCGCGGAAACGAUCCGACCCGCCUAUCCGUAUUGGGAGUGCAUGGGGACUCCCCUGAAGUCCUGCAAGGUCUUGACUGCAGGUUCGCAGGAAGCGGUAGAUGGACAGGGAUGGAGCUGGAAGCCAUUAUCCUCAGC